CAAAAUAACCACAUAUUCGUGAUCCUCGUCAAAUUUGUGGUAAUGCAGAGGAGACGUCGAGAAGAUGGAUUUUCUCAUCUUUAACAGUCGUCACCGGUCUCCGUCGGAUCUACUCCUCAUGGAAACGAAACUCGUUGGAGUGAAUGGAUAAUGCGCCAACAAAAUACUUCUGGCAAUGGAAAUGGACAAUCGCUGGCAGUGGAAAGGGACAAUCGCGACCGGCACCGAGAAUCGUCAUCAACGUGGAUCAUUAUCGUAUUGUUGGUAUUAUUUCGUUUGUGUUAUUGCUAGUUAACCC
rnacentral:lncRNA from 1 species